rnacentral:rRNA from 1 species
UACGGGGGGAGCAAGCGUUGUUCGGAUUUACUGGGCGUAAAGGGCGCGUAGGCGGCCACUGCAAGUCAGUUGUGAAAUCUCCGGGCUUAACCCGGAAAGGUCAACUGAUACUGCAGGGCUAGAGUGCAGAAGGGCAACUGGAAUUCUCGGUGUAGCGGUGAAAUGCGUAGAUAUCGAGAGGAACACCUGCGGCGAAGGCGGGUUGCUGGGCUGACACUGACGCUGAGGCGCGAAAGCCAGGGGAGCGAACGGG